UUUAAUUGUUGCCAGCAGCCGCGGUAAUACGGAGGGUGCAAGCGUUAUCCGGAUUUACUGGGUGUAAAGGGAGCGUAGACGGAGUGGCAAGUCUGAUGUGAAAACCCGGGGCUCAACCCCGGGACUGCAUUGGAAACUGUCAAUCUAGAGUACCGGAGAGGUAAGCGGAAUUCCUAGUGUAGCGGUGAAAUGCGUAGAUAUUAGGAGGAACACCAGUGGCGAAGGCGGCUUACUGGACGGUAACUGACGUUGAGGCUCGAAAGCGUGGGGAGCAAACAGG
rnacentral:rRNA from 1 species